rnacentral:tRNA from 1 species
GUAAAUAUAGUUUAAAACAAAACAUUAGUCUGUGGAUCUAAAAAUAGAAGCUAAGAACUUCUUAUGUACC